AGUGAACGCUGGCGGUAGGCCUAACACAUGCAAGUCGAACGGCAGCACAGGAGAGCUUGCUCUCUGGGUGGCGAGUGGCGGACGGGUGAGGAAUACAUCGGAAUCUACCUUUUCGUGGGGGAUAACGUAGGGAAACUUACGCUAAUACCGCAUACGACCUACGGGUGAAAGUGGGGGACCGCAAGGCCUCACGCGAUUAGAUGAGCCGAUGUCCGAUUAGCUAGUUGGCGGGGUAAUGGCCCACCAAGGCGACGAUCGGCAGCUGGUCUGAGAGGAUGAUCAGCCACACUGGAACUGAGACACGGUCCAGACUCCUACGGGAGGCAGCAGUGGGGAAUAUUGGACAAUGGGCGCAAGCCUGAUCCAGCCAUACCGCGUGGGUGAAGAAGGCCUUCGGGUUGUAAAGCCCUUUUGUUGGGAAAGAAAUCCUGUCGAUUAAUACUCGGUGGGGAUGACGGUACCCAAAGAAUAAGCACCGGCUAACUUCGUG
rnacentral:rRNA from 1 species